rnacentral:lncRNA from 1 species
GCCACUUCAAAGUUGGCACAGGCCGCUGUCCGGGCCUCCUGUGAACUGGGAAAUGAUGGGGAGGUUGGGGCCCCGCUUUCUCUGGCCUCAGGGACAGGGAUGUAAAAUUUGGUCACACCUUAGCUUGGCAUCCAAAGGAGGUCCCUCGAGGAAACCGAGGAAACCGUUUCUCAACCAGUUUUCCUGAAAAAGAGAGCACAAGGUGCUGUGUCCAGCCUUGCUUUGGAAUGUAAGUGUCAUUCUGGAAGGCAGGGAAAGGGGAUAAGAGGCAGAAAAUAGUGAACCGGGAUGGGGUGCGGCAGGGACCGGGAGCGAGCUACCCCAGUCCAGGGCAAAUUUCAGUUAACGGGUGUUUUAGCCUUUCCAUUGCUGUAACCAAAAGAUCUGACAAGAACAACAUAAAGGAGGAAAAGCUUGGUUUGGCUCAUGGCUUCAGAGGUUCCGAUCCUACUGGGCGACUCCACCGCUCUGGGCCCAGGGUGAGGCAGAACUUCCUGGUGGAAAAUCAAAGCAGCGGGAGCAGCUCAGGGCAUGGCGACAGGAAGCAGAGAGGGCUCUGCUCACAAGGCACAAAAUGCAGACCCCCGAGGCCACCCCCGGUGACCAGCUCCUCCAGCCACAGCCUACCUGCUGCAGUUACCACCCAGGUAAUCCUGGUCGGGGGAUUGGUCCGUUGAUGGGUGAAGGCUCCUCAUCUAGUUGUUUCACUUCUGAACAUCAUCUCACUGUUCCACAUGUGAGCUUUCGGGGGACGCCUCACCUCCACACCGUAACAAAGCAGUUGCAUUAAACAAGGAAAACUGAGGACCGCGUGCAUACAGCCGGAUGAGCUCGCUGUCCUGCCUGCCUUCCGGGGUGAAGUGGACGCUCUGUUUGUGAAGAGCAAGAGCAACACAUCUGUAACCUUGAACCGAAAGGACUGGAGGACAGCGGAGUCACAAAAUAUAACACCAGAGAGUCAUCAAAACUGUAUUCAAGGCAACAUUGUGUAGUGGAAAGACCACCGACAUGGGCGUCUGUCGGGUCUGGAUUGGAAUCUGGUUUAUCGUUUAAUUUAACCCAGUAUGCGGCCUCUACUUUUUCCAUUCUCAAAAGUGGGAAGGGUAUCCAUACGUCACAAAACAGACAGGCAGGGGCGCAGGCGCACACACUCGAGGAGGACUUCAGCUGUGGAAUAAUGGAUGCAAAGUGACUGAAAUGUAACAGGUUGCCUCACCUUCCUCUUCCCCCAGGGAGAGUUCUGUCCAGGCCAAUCGGACCAUCCCUGUCAGACACCCCAAGGUACAUCAGCAGCACAGUGAGCAGCCUUCAGGCACCUCCCCGCCACUCCUCUACAACAGCCAAAUAUAUAUACAUCAUUCUUGACGGUGCCACUUCUGGGAAAGCAUCCAAAAGAAACUUCUGGGAGAACCUGGAAAAACCAUGUAUAGGGUUGUUUCUCACAAAGUUAUUUAUAAUACAUAACAGAACUGUUUACUAAGAGACGUAGGAAAUGUGGCUUGCUGAUACCAUGGGAUAUGACACAUUUAGAGGGGUCCCUUGCCAUCCACAUGGAAGGAUGUAGUCACGAGAUGUGAAGUGGUUCAAAGCUGGCUGCAAAACUGCUCCACCCAGGACCCAGGCUCUGCAGUCUACAGCUCAAGGGCAGGAGGACUGUGGGUAAAUGUGAAUACAGCAGUUGGUAAGUUGGAGUGCAGUGAUGGGUACAACUUCUGAACCUGAAGAGCUAUUUUAUGUUAUUUUUGUUCAUUUAUCUCUUAAUGACACCAUUGAAGUAGAUGAUUUCUAAGAUUUCGUCCCUCUCCCACAUUCUAUGGGUAAGCUGCAUAUCUUUGUUUGAUUUUAUGUUCCUUCAUCUAUAAAAAUCUCCUGGUAGUUUUCUAGAAACAAAUCCCGAGAUUCGCAGGUAUUCGUUCUCUAUUGUUACAUCACAGAUUAUCCCCAAAUCUAGCAGGUUAAGACAAACACCUGAUGUCUCGUCCUCAGAGGGGUGGGAUCUGCGGGCUGAGCCGGCUGCUUUGCUCAGGGUCUUCAGAGGUCAAAGUCAGGCUGUUGACAGGGCAGCUGUCACCAGAAGGCUGGCCAGAGGAUGGGGAAGUCAUCUUCAAGCCCACACUUGUGUUGGUGGCCAGGUCCCUGGGCCUCACCCUGCGUCUCUCCUUAGGGCUGCUCACACGUGGUAGCUGGCCCCCCACAGAGGAGGUGCCUAGAGAGCCCCGUCCUCUAUAACUUAAGUCUUCUACGACCCAAGCUCAGAAGGGGCAGCCAUCAUGCCAUGAAUUCCUAUAGCUCUUGGGUGGCCUUGGCAUCCAUUCUGAAUGUGAGUUGGACUUUGUCCUGCCAGAAGCAGGACUCGGUCACCCUUGACACGAUUUCCAGUCCUUCACCCACCGUAUGUUCCUCUCGAGAUGGUCCAUCCAGGUCUUUGUCUUAUAUAACCACCUCCUGGUGACCACCUCCCUACAGGGUGACUGUACACACCUGCCUGGUCACCCCACUGGCCAUCGUCCUUGUGUGGACUGCACAGAAUUGCCACAGGGACCAACUCUCCGUCAGUGUGACCUCCUGGAACUCUCGCCUGCUCAUUCUAGCCCCCCCAGCUAGGACUCCCAGGGGAAACCUGCUUGGCAAUGCCCUGGUCCCCAAAAAAGACACUGGCCCAAGGGACUCUUGCUUUUGCCUCUUCCUCCCACCUACUGGCUGAGUGUACGGGUCCCGGGUGGCUCCCUGGUCCCAUGGCCCUGUGAGGCAGGCUGCCCUCUCCAUCUGGACCUGCUUCUGUCACUCAUGGGCUGUGUCGAGCUGCCUCCUCCGUCUCACACCUGACCCCACCCCCAAGUCUAACUCUCCUCCUGCCAGGGCUCUGCGGCAGAGGGGCCGUCUUGGAGUAAGUGACAUGGUCAGACAGGAGGCACAAGGACAUGUGCCAGUGUAAGCAAGGCAUUAAACCGUCAGCCAAGAUAAAAAAAUAAGUCCCCCGUGCAAGGCAUUCCGUGCAGCCCAGGCUGAAUUCCCGACUCGGCCAGGCUGGGCUGGAGCUCGGGUCUGUCCUGAGAGCCAGCUCCCCACCGAGCUGACUUACAGUAGCGCCUCCACCAUACGCUGGGGGUCACCGAGAGCAACUGUGGGCCAGUGCAGGGGGCAGUGACUGGGGCGUGAAGAGCAGGAGGUGGGGAUCACUGGGGGCUGUGUCAGGCAGCUCCAUCAUGAAGUCUGUCCUGCAGAAAGGCCGCCUCUCCUCGCCACCUCCUGGAUUCUGGCAUCCUGCGUGACGUCACAUUACCCAGCACAGUGAGGCGAGUGAGUGCCUGAGAGAUCGCAACUGAACAAGUGGGCGGAGAGCUGUUUUCUGGCUUGUGUGAAAGGCUUGUGAGGAUUGGAGAUGGUGGACUUUAAGUGCCCGGCUCACCAGAUGCACGAAGUCACAGUUGCCCAUGCUGCGCCCCCCCACCCCCCGUCCCCCCACCACCAUGCAAAAGAAGAAACUGAAGGUCGGUGUCCCCACGGUUAUGAGCAGAUAAGUACCAGAGCUUCCUGUCCAGCCCAGGCAGACGGGUUUGGCUCCUGAGCCCCAAGCUAAGUGGCUUGGAGUCACAUCUAACCCAUAAGACCCACAGGAGUGUGGCCGGGGUCAGGGUAGCCCUCGGCCCUGCAUUCACACAGCCUGUGUUCCUAGAGGGACAGCUCCUCCGGGCCCGCCUCUGCAGACCUCCGUGGGCCCCCUCUCCCUGCUCCUCCUGCUCGCUGCCCCUCCCUCCAGGCCCAUCUGGGACCUCCGGCCACUCAGCGCCACUUGGUUUCCAUCUCAAGGAGCCUUCAGGAUGUGCUAGAAGGACUUCUGAAGGAAACGCAGGCCUUGCCUGAUGCUAGCAGGGGUCUCCUGGGACGGCCACGUGGUCCCUUCCGUGGGCCACAUCAGUGAAUGUCCAGCUGAGGUCCACAGCAGAUCUUGACAAGAGGGUAGAGGGAGCGGGAACCCACCUGGCCUGCGGUGCACGCCGCUCGCCAUCUGGGCAUGUUCUUCUGGCCCCAAGCAACUCCCAAGAACCUUCAUCUCCUUCUGAGACUCAGCAAAGGGACUUAGCAUCUGGACUUGAGGACCUCGUCUCAUUUUCUACUUGAGGAAAAAUCCUGAAGCAUUUUAUAUCUUUUUUUGGGGGGGGCGGGUCCCGGGAUUGAACUCAGGGUCACUCAACCACUGAGCCACAUCCUCAGACCUAUUUUGUGUUUUGUUUAGAGACAGGGUUCACUGAGUUGCUUAGGGCCUCACAUUUGCUGAGGCUGGCUUUGAACUUGAGAUCCUCCUGCCUCAGCCUCCUGAGCAGCUGGGAUUACAGGCUUGUGCCACGGCACCAGGCUCAUUUUAUAUCUUGAGUUUCCAGUUUCUGUUUUUCUGCCACUUCUUUUUCACUAGGUUUCAACCCCACCACCACCAAAACAUACACACACACACAAAAAAAAAUUCUUCCAGAAAUUCUUAAAAGGAAAUGGGGUAAGGCUUUGACUUCAAGAUAAAUUCCCUGGGAGUCCUGAGAUGCCUAGUUUAGGAAAGCGGCACCAUCUGGAGAGCUCCCUCGAGGAGGCUGUGGGGGUAAGUCAGCUCCCCAGGGAGGGCCCCUGCGGCUGACACUGGCCUCUCUGAUCUCCAGACUGCACCGUGCCCGCCCUCAUCACACGGAGGCUCUCAGACGUGGUCUCCAGCGGUGGGAGGGAGGGGCAGCUGGCAGCACCUGAACAAGCCACCCAGGGAGCAGCAGUCCCGGCUCUGGCAGACUUGGGGGGUUGACCAGGCCCAAGCUGAGGAGACAGGGAGGACCAGUGGAGGACAGAUAGCCAGCUGGGUAGUCCAGGGCCUUCACAGGAGCCGUUUUAGUGUCUCCAGGGUGGGGAGCCUUGUGGAGGCGGUAAACUGUCCACGGGGAGACAACGGCCUUGAAGAGAAGCUCACUGCUCACACUUCCUAAGGGUGACGUUUCUUCUUCUAAAUUGAAGAAGGACCCACUUGUCCCCUAUAGAGAAAUCAUUUUUGAGAAGAGAAGACUGCGUCACUUCUGGCACAGGACGUGGAGGAUUUUGAAGAAUCAACGUCUGAAGAGAAACUCCUUCCACUCCCAGGUACUUCAAGGUUUACUCGGAACUUAUAAAAGUGAAAAAUAAAAGUAAUGCUAGCCCCGAUGUCAUCUCAAUAAUUAAUAUGCCUCCAACAGAUGGCGAACUGAUGGAGGAGAAAGCCUGUGGGUCCAUUAGGACGCUCUUUCAGGAACGUGCACUUUUCGUCUAUUAACGUGAUUUAGAACCUAUUCUGUUGUUCAAUCAACUGUGAACUCAUAAUCACAGUGAUGAAUUAUUUCCAAAGACUUUUUUUAACCUUUAGUUUCUAUGUUCAAAGGCAGUUCUAAUUGUCUACAUUUCUGUUUACGUUCAUAUCUUUAUGCCAGACAAAGAAUAUAUUUUGUUGAGAUAAAAAUCUAGGGGAAGGAAGUGGAGGAGAAAUAUGAGCUCAAAGAGAAACAGGAACAAUGUAAGAUUGUGCCAGAUUGUUGAUGUGUUUAUCUGAAGGCUUGAUAAUGGGCGUCUGAUGGCCAUGGCACGUAGAUUCCUUAGGAUACAUUCACAGGGAGAUGGAACCACCUUAUUUUCAAAAUAUCAGUAUAACUUUUUGGAAAUUUUAGGUUUGGGAACUAUUUCAACUUUAGAUGAGUUUUAGAUGUCAACUUGAGUAGGUCCAAGGGAGUCAUUUUUAGAAUGAUCUUAAGGAGUUUGGC